rnacentral:lncRNA from 1 species
CAUGACUGCACAUUAGAAUCACUCGAAAGCUUUAGCAAAUAGUGAUGCCCGGAGCCACUCCUAGGUAUUACAUUUAAUCAGUCUGGGCAUCAACACUGAAAAAUCUCCCAGGUGAAUCUAAUGUGCAAUCAGGGCUGAGAACCACUGAUUAAGCCCAUAUGGUGGUGCUCAGCAAGUGGCAGAAGACUGAGGAGCUUGGCUCACCUUCAGUCCUGGGCUCAGAGAGAAGCAGAGUCCUGACCUCCUUGCCCCAACUGGCCACUCCGGGGCUGGGAUAAGAUGAGCCCUUGGAAGUAGCUCCUAUUCAGGGAGUUUUCUGGUUAGAACUGAUCCCAUCUCUAGAGGCCAAGUCAAAGAUAAAGGAUUUGAGGAAAGACAGAAACUGUCAGCCAUUUUUUUUUGCUUAAUACGGAUCCAUCCUCAAGCAAACAAGUUUGGAAGCAGGGCCUGUGGUCUAGAGGCUGGCUCUGCGUCCCUUCUUGCUGGGUCUGAAUAAAGAGGGGAAGGAGCCUCUGAAGUCGCUUCCAGAAUGCCAUCGUUCUCUUCAGCAGAUGGUGGAGGAGAGAGGCUAAUUGAGAACUCCUGUAGCAUAUAAAACAAAAACCAGCCAAAGGAACCCGCAAGGUCAGCACGCAUUAAGGGAACUUUGUCAUCUUCCUAGAUUCUGCAAGUGAGUGGCUACUUGCCAGAGGGAGAGAAAUGCAGAGAGGCCGAAUUAAAAUGACAACUGGACAACAGAAACUCAUGAUUGUUGUGAAGAUCAAGUGAGACAAGGUAAGUGGUGUGUUCAGCCAACUGUAAAGCACCAUACAAGCUCUUAUUCGUAAACUGGAUCUGAGGACUAGAGGGGAAACAGGGAGAAACUCAGCUUGUGUUCAGAGGAGGCUUAGGCAGAGGCUGGAGGAGAGAGCGCGGCACAUUGGCAGUAAGGAGGUCAAGCAGGAGAGGCGUGAGAUGUGAAAGAAAACCAGGUGAGAUCUUAAAACCAGACAGAGGAAGAGUGGGACAUUGCUCUUCUGGUGCUAAGGGAUAAAGCCAAUAGACCCAGCCCUUGGUUAUCUGUGACCAUGGCUCAGAGCGCCCAACGCUAAUAGAACGUCAUCAUCGAUGACGACAACAAAAACGUUCUUUUAGCCAAAGACAUUGUCUCCUUCCUCUCAGAGAACUUUCUUUCUUCAAGAUGCUUUCAAGCAUUUCCCCACAUUGUUGGCUCUUUUCAGACACCUCUGCAGAGGGGUCCUAAUUUGCAUCACCAUGUGGGAAUCUUUAUCUUGAGCUACAUGGCUCCUCUGAGCUGUAAUAUGCCUGCAGAAAUGCGCUUAGAGUUGAUCUGAAAGUGGUACAAAGACUGACAGCUCCUUUCCUCCAGACUUUGGCCGCCCUUCCCCGAAAUCCUGGCAUCUGCUAAAGGCCCAGUUGUUUUCCAUGGGGGCAAAUAUGCCUGUCUCUCUCUUCAAGCUGACUUAUUGUACAUUCCUUUCAUCUGCUCAGAAUCUGAUUUAAAUAUGAAUCCAUGGAACGCAAACACCCAGCACUCAGAAGAAUUGUAACUUUGUUAUAUUUUGCCCAAUCACAACAAUUGUCUUAUCAUUCUUUGCCUGGUGAUGUUCUGUCAAAAGGGACCAAAUGAUGAUGUUUGGAAAGAUAGCAACACAAAUCACGUGAAAGUGAUUUAUUUUUAAUCCACCACACUGCGCUGUCCCCAAGUUAUUUGUGAAUAUGUAUCAAGCUCAAACUUUAAAAUUUUGACAAUUAAUUGGUUUCUUGCAGUUCCAUUAUUUCUCCCUAUCCUCUGAGUUUGAUGUGUGUGGAAAGUUUCCCAAAUACGUAUCUGGUAAAUUACUCCCAGACUCAAAGAUAGCUGCAGUAAAAUUUAAAAAAAUAAAGCUUCAGUCAUUCCUUUAUUUAAUGAAUAUGCAUUGAAUGUCUUCACUGUGUUGGGUGCUGGAUGAGGUUCUGGGGACACAGUAAUGAGCAAGAACAGAGAAUCUGUCUUCACAAACUUACUGGCUAGCGGAGCAGAAGUCAAUGAAGGAACAAAUAAAGACAUUUUACACAUUGUGGUAAAUGCUUGGAGUGACACAAAUGGGGGUGUUGUGAAAGAAAAUUGGAGAAGGGAGGGAGUACUCCCUGACUACCUAACCCAAAGACCUCACUUUGCAGAUGAGAAAAGUCCGGGCUGGGUCAUUUCCCCCAAUCCUAUACAGGUGGUUCCGGGCCAUCCUCAGCUAAAGGGGAUGCUGCUUCUUGGAUGAUAUACUAUUAGAUCUACUGGUGAAAUACACCAUCCUCCUGUGGUGAGUGUUUUGGGAGUAUUUGUCUUAAGGAUAUGUGAAUACAUAUAGUUAAUACAAUUCUGGGGAAAUGCAGGAAAGCAUCCUGGUACUUUUCUUUUUCACAUUGCUGAGGCCAGAAUGCUGUGGAAGUAUGGAUACUUUUCUCUCCUCCCAGACACUAACUCAGAGUUCUUGUAGUGAAGUUCACUUCCACGCCCUGAGCAAAGGAGGCCCCUAAACUCUAGACCUAAUAUCUCUUAGACCCAGUGUUUAGGUGGCUCAAGCCAAGAGGAAAUUGAGGAAAAAGCAGGAAAUUGAGGGAAAAGCCCCAGGGAGAGGGGGAAGAGAGAUGGAGAAAAUAGAAACAAAGGUGGUACCAAGAGAAGAAGCAGGAAACCAGGAUUGCAAGGUGCUGGCCAAGCAGGGAGAAGUGCUCCAUCACUUUGCUUGGCCAAUGCACUAGCCCAAGGGACUGUAAUCUCAGUGCGCUAGCAAAACCACUCCCCAUUUUCUUGAAUCCCCUGUUUCUGCUUAUGGACCUUUUCGAUGUGGGAAUCUCUGAGGUUGGAGCCAACUCUUGUUAUCUUUGUGGUUUUGUCCCACCUCACAGGCAGCAGUUAUCCAGCAGCUUGUUACAAAGCAUUGAGAGGCCACUCCUGAACUCAGGUGCACACAACCCUCUGUCCCACACUGUAUCAUCAGAGAACUUAUCACAAAGAGCAGUAACGUCUUCUCUUGCUCACAAACCCUCAAAGGACCCCUACUGAAUGUUACAAUGUUAUCUAGGAUCAAGCUAGACAGAACAAGUGUUCCAAUUUUUUAUUGUUCUGUAACAAACUCUCCUCAAAUGCAUUAAUUCCAAAAUAACAAUUUGUUUCUCUCCCAUGAUUCUGGGAUUGCUGGGCUCAGCUGGGUGGUUCUUGCUUGGCAUCCCUCACAUGGUCGCAGCCAAAAGGAGUUGUCUGAAGGCUUGGUCCUUCACAUGUCUGGUGCCUUGGCUGGGAUGGCUGAAUCAGCUGGGGACUGGUCAGCUCUCUCUCUCUUUACACGGCCUCUCCACAUGGCCAGCUUGGGCUUCCUCACAGCGCUGUGGUCAUUGUGCAGGCAUGCUUCUUACAAGGCCACUGGCUUCCCUAGAAGACAGGAAGUGGAAGCUGCUAGUCUCUUAAGGCCUGGCCUGGAAACUGUCACUUCCACCAUGUUCUGUUGAUCACAGCAGUCGCAGAGAUAAUAUAGACUCCCAUCUCUCGAUGGGAUGAGUGUCAAAGAAUUUGUGGCCAUCUCUAAUCUGUCCCAAAUCUACUGCCCCUUCCAUAUGAGAACCUUAAUGUAAAUAAAGACAGCAAACAUGUCUUUAUUCAGUUUUUGCUUUGCAGGCCAUACUCACCAGUUUCUUUAACCUUCAGAUCACUCACAUUCUUCCCAAACCCCAUAGGUAGUCCAAGUCGCCAGUCCCCCUUAAGAUGUGGCACCCAGGACCUGAUUCAUUAUCCAAGUCCUUCAAAGAGUAUCCCCACUGGCUUGGUACUCUCGUCUGUAAGUCCUGUAAGUACACUUCAACAUGGCAAGUGGCCGACUUCAGCCAGGACAUGUGCUUCGGUCUCAUUCAAGGCAGCGAUGAGGUUUCUUCUACUUCCUCAUUUAUCUCAGAUUUCUGAACCUUAAAAAACAUUUUUCCACUGUCUCUGUAUGAAGAUUAUUUUUCCUGAGAUGACGGAGGCAAAAUAGAAGUGGAAUAGUUGUGCUUUCUCCCUUCUGCUCACGUUAGACCAUCUGCUUCACGUAAUGAAUCCAUUUCUUUCCUCUUUAAAGUGCCUGAGAGUUUGCUUGUCUUGAGAUCCUCCACAGUGCUCAACAGAAUGCCUUGCUUGCUAAGUGCUUGUAAAUGACAAAGAGAAACAACAAUGGCAAAAAGCUUAGUCUGAAAAAAAUAAUCUCCAGUUGAGGGAUAUGUCAGGAUUAAGACCUUUAGGUCCAACCUGUACAUUCAUGAAUGUUCUAAAAAGGAUAUGAACUGGCUUAUCAACAACGCACAGAUACAGUAAGACCGAAGAGUAUCAAGCAAUAAAAACAAAUAGUAUUUAGUAAA